CCGGUUUUAAUCAAAGGAAACUGGUCACAUUUUGAAGAGAUGUCAAAUUGUCAACAAUACAUUACUGGAUACGCCGUGUUGGGGACCUUCCUAUCUAUUUCCGUCAGCAUUAAUAUAGGAGUAAUCGUCCACUGUCUAAGAAUGCGUUUCAGAAAUUCCAGGACUCAAACAACUUCCAAUGAACUACAAACAUACCAUAUACCCGAUCAUGAGGACAACUAUGACAGUUUAGAUUCAUCAAAAAUUAACACUACACGUAACGUUUAUGAUACCAUUGUUAAAUAGUGGGAGAAAAGGGAAAAUAUUAGUGAAAAUAUUUCCUUUAAUCUUUUUAUAAAAAUUCGUUGGUUAAAUUUUGUUUAUGGAGGAAAUGGAGUAGUAAACCACUUCGUAAUCAUAUGAUACAUACAGAGUCGAGUUAUAUGUAGACUUAUCAUAGAUUAGAUAUAUAUAUACGUUAACGUGGCUUUGAUCUAUAUGUGUUAAUGCGAAAACAGGUUCCAUUGCCAAUUAUACUUCAAUAGCCAUUUUCACACCCUAGUUUAGGAAAAAUGUUAUUUGUGAUAGUAAGUAUAUAUGUAGAGAUUGUUAUCAGACUGUACUCUAUAAAUAUAUAGCUUUGUUUGGUUUCACGGAUAUUUUGCCUUUUUCACACAUAUUGUAACACUUAUUAACCAGACUCCUCUUAAUGGACUUUGUAUCUUGUGUCAGUUAAACCUAAAAAAGGGAAUGCAGGCCAAACACAAAAUCUAUAUCCUUAAAGUCAGCUGCAAAGUGCAUGUCAAAACAUGAGCUGUAUUUUAGUGUCUUGAUUUUGAAUGUCAAUAUCUUAUCCGAUAAACAUGAUAAAGUAAGAUAGGAUUUUUAUUUACGUUUUAAUGAACAUCACUUUUACUUUGAUACAUACCAUCGCUACACGGAAAAUGCUCUUGCUUACGUAUCCAUACCUUCUUCCUUGUGAAAAGUUUUUAUUUUCUUGUAACGAAUAUUCAAAAUCCCUUUUUAUGUCCUGAUGUUUCUAGAAUUAGUGAAAUAAAUGAUGACAUUUUUCAUCACAAACCCAUCUAUAUACAUAUAUUUCAUCACAAGACCUAGUUACUGAUUACAUAAUAGUUAUCCCUUUGGAACUAUCAGAGAACACGUGGUCUGAUGUCAGCAUACCAUUCUAGUGCAUAUUAAAAUACGAUUGUAUAAAAACGCAUCAUGGAUGUACUUGAAGUGAAACAGUUAUUUACAGUAUCAUUUGUGAGCCACACACUAAGCAUACAUAUUUGCAUGAUUUAUGAGAUAUAUUUUCAUUAUUUCAAUAACGUCAAAGCAGAUUUAUUAGAGUGUCUGCCUUGUUUAGCGUUGUUCUAUAGGCUAUCCAUUUGAAAAUGUUUGCUGAUGACUGAACAAUUAUACCGUCGUACGUUUGGUUCUGUACCAUCAUUAAGGAAGUAUACCUUGAUAUCGGAUGUAAACAAUAUAUGAAGGCAUAAUAACAAACAUCUGAUAUUAUCAUAUACUAUUAAGCAUAAUAAACAUAAUCUUGUGUAUUAUAAUAACAUCAGACAUAAUAAUCACAUUACUUCUAAAAAAAUACAUUAGCUAAAGGUAUUCUUGGCAUGAUCAAUGGAAUCAAAGUACAUUUUGUUAAGGUAAAUGCAAUAUAUCAAUGUGAUCAUUUCCAUAUUUUAUGUAAGAAUUAUGAUGCGUAGGAUCGUAAUUGUAUAGUUUUGUGGCAAUGUUAAUGAAUGCUGGAUUUAAAGUUUAUAUGA